UGAACGUCACGUCGUUUAUUCCGUCGAUGUAGGAAAAUAGAUUCACAUUAAUGUUCUGGCUUCUGUCCUCCGUCACUCUUCUGUUUCUCUUCACAACAAACAAACACAACUAAGAGGAAAAGUAAAGGUGCGUCUCACUGAUUAUUUUCAAACCAAACCAGGGAGGGUUCACGUUUCCGCCUCCCGCUUCCAGUUUUUUUUUUAAAGUGCAAAAGAAAAACAAACACGAAGCCAGCAGGUCACAGCUGAACAGAAAACAAAUGUUUAGAGGCGAGAAUAUAGAAAACCCAGACGAACACACGGGGGACCAUGCAGGAAGCCGGCGGCGCCUUCCACAAAGAAAGGAGAGUUAAAAACAUCGUCAUAGCAACAGGAAGAAGAAGAAAAUCUGCACAUCAACGUCUGUACAACCGUCUGGAACAGCAAAGACACACAGCGACAACAGAAACAAACAGUGAGGGAACAAACGGCAGCAAGAAGCUUCAAACGCUGCAGGUCGCUGCCACGGUCCCACUCAGGAGGACCGACACCCAGGAAAAACAACACAAAAACUCCUCUCUCCUCCACAGAAACCAGCGUUUGUUCAGGAGAUAAAGCCUGAGUGGGUCCAUGGCAGCGAUCAGAGCUAUGAUCACUUCACACCUCCAUCACAUCAACUGCAGGGUCGACCAGGAUCAGCUCCAACGCCUCGUCAUCUCGUCACCGUCGUCCAAUCAGCUGCAGACGUUCAGCAGCUCCUACAUGUUUACUAUUAAGUGCUCAGUUGUUGCUGUUUUUUGUAAAUCUGCAAAUUAUUUUAACUCCGAUCAAUGCAUUUUACCAAAUGACUUGGUUUUAUGUCUUAUUUUUACAGAAUUAUUCCAACUGUUCGUCCAUUAAGGGUCUGAUUUAUCCUCUGGACCUUCACCUGUAGGAGCUGAUCUGACUGACCUUCUGAAUAUCACUGGACCUACACGACGAGCCUUUAAAAGGAAGAAGAGGAAUUUUCAUUCCAAAAGUCUUGGAUGAGUCUGGAGGUGAAUGAACGACGUGCAAAGCUGCUC
ensembl:lncRNA